rnacentral:misc_RNA from 1 species
AAGUCGUAACAAGGUUUCCGUAGGUGAACCUGCGGAAGGAUCAUUACAAAUCCAAUGUCUCACUCAUUCGAGACCACGUUGAAAUGUUCCCCAGGCCAAGGGAGCCAGAGACUCACAAGGUCUGUGGCCAACAACUUGACUGGGCUGUUAAACUAGUUUUUCUUGUUGCUCAAAUGUACUUUGAUUUUCAAUCAAACGAAAACAAUUACAACUUAUAACAAUGGAUCUCUAGGCUCUU